UGGUGAAGAAAUGGAAGCCAUGGGAAAGGAAAUGGUCAAACAUUGUGGAGGACUACCAUUAGCUGUUAAAGUGUUGGGAGGCUUGUUAGUUAAUAAACAUACAGUUCAUGAGUGGAAAAGAGUUUCUGACAAUAUCGGAGAUCAAAUCGUAGGAAAAUCUUGCUUAAAUGACAACAGUCUCAAUUCGGUUAACCGAAUAUUGUCUCUGAGUUAUGAAGAUUUGCCAACGCAUUUAAAGCAUUGCUUCCUUUAUCUAGCCCAUUACCGGGAAGAUUCCAAGAUAUAUAUGUGGAAUUUGUUCAAUUACUGGGCUGCAGAAGGAAUUUGUUAUGGAUCAACCAUCAGAGAUAGUGGAGAAGACUACCUAGAAGAGCUAGUGAGGAGAAAUUUGGUUACUGCUGAAAAAGACAAAUUGAGAUGGAGAUUAGAAUAUUGACAUGAUGAGAGAAGUAUGUUUAUCUAAAGCCAAAGAAGAGAACUUCCUACAAAUUAUCAAAGUCCCUACUUCCACCUCUACCAUCAAUGCUCAAUCUCCUAGUAGAUCUCGCAGACUCACCAUACGUAGUGGUAAAGCCUUUCAUAUACUGGGACACAAAAACAAUAAAAAAGUCAGAUCUCUUAUAGUUUUGGGACUCGAGGAAGACUUUUGGAUACAGUCAGCUUCAGUCUUCCAAAAUUUACCAUUGCUCAGGGUGUUGGAUCUUACUGAGGUGAAGUUUAAAGGAGGGAAGUUACCUUCUAGUAUUGGAGGGCUUAUCCACUUGAGAUUCUUGAGCUUAGACGAUGCUGGGGUAUCUCAGCUACCUUCUUCUAUGCGGAAUUUAAAGCUUCUCCUCUAUUUAGACUUAAGUGUUGCUGCCGAGGAACCAGUUCAUGUGCCAAAUGUUUUGAAAGAGAUGCUAGAGUUGAGGAACCUUGUCCUACCUCAUAAGAUGCAUGAUAAAACCAAGUUGGAAUUGGGUGAUCUAGUGAACCUGGUGCACUUGUGGUAUUUCUCAACGCAACACAGUAGUGUGACAGACCUCCUCCGUAUGACCAAGCUCAGGUAUCUCUCUGUAUCUUUGAGCGAAAGGUGUACUUUUGAAACCCUAUCGUCAUCUCUCCGUAAAUUGCGUAACCUCGAGACGCUUUAUUUGGAUUUUCGGUACAAAACCUAUACGGUUGAUUAUGUGGGAGAGUUGGAUCUGGAUUUUAUUCAUCUAAAAGAGUUAGGAUUGAGAGGACGUAUGUCAAAGAUUCCUGAUCAACAUCAAUUCCCUCCCCACCUUGAACACAUAUCUCUAUUUGAUUGCCGCAUGGAGGAGGAUCCAAUGCCAAUUCUAGAAAAGUUGCUUCAUUUGAAGUCGGUUAAAUUAGGAUCUGACGCUUUCGUUGGGAGGAAAAUGUUGUGCUCAAAAGGUGGAUUUCCUCAAUUACGUGCUCUAGAAAUAAAUGAAGAAUCAGAGUUGGAAGAGUGGAUAGUGGAAGAAGGGUCGAUGCCAUGUCUUUGUACUUUAAAUAUAGAUGAUUGCAAAAAGUUGAAGGAACUUCCUGAUGGACUCAAGUACAUAACAUCCUUAAAGGAACUGAAGAUUAAAAGAAUGAAGAGGGAGUGGAAGGAGAAAUUGGUACCAGGUACACAUUCCCGAUGUUCAAUUUAUCAACUGUGACGAUGAAUAAGGAGAAUAACCAGUAGCAGAUGCAGGAAAGAAAAAGAAGCUAGCUUUGAAAGAUUCAUCUGCUGAUUAACAGGUUUUCGCGAAGAAUCUUUGGAAUUGCUUAUGAAGAAUACAGAUUCUGAAGUACUACGGAUUACGUUGCCAGUCUUGGAGCAUCGUUAUUUUGUGGCUCAGAACUAUAUUAUAGAAAAUAAUGCUUUUAUUGAUGUUUGUUUUCGAUGUGGAUGUAUGGAACAUGCUUGAGAACUCUUUCACAAAAUGGAGAAACGAACCUUGGUUUUACUGUAAAAAAGUAAAAACUGGAUAUUUUAUGUUAAUAAGAAUUGUUGUUUUGUUU